CGGUUCUUCUCAGAUCUCAACCCUGCUGCGUUUCCGACCGGAAGUUAGACCAUCCGCUCCACGGUUCUCCAGGUUGCUGACCGCAAAUCUCUGAAUUGGCUCACAGGAGUAUGGAGACCGAGAAGUCCCAAAAUCUGUGUCCGCGUUAAACUGGACAACGCGAGAGCAGAUGGCGUGACUUCCGGUCGGGAACCCAGCGGCUUGAGAUCCGAGAAGAGCCGCGUUUCAGUUACACUCUGAAGCACAGAUUGUCAGCCUAUUCCCCUGGACCAAUCAAUCUUGAAUGGAGAUAAGAAAUCUGUAUUAAAUCCUCAGAGCCCAGGAUGCCAAAUGGUGAGUUGCGGUUUGACAACAGACCACAAGAGAAGUUGAAACAGAGAAGUUUGUUACUCACAGGCAGUGGAGGAAAUACAAGGCAAGUCUCCCGAAGCCACACAGGGAAGUCAAGGCAGAGACCCAGACAGGACGUGGGGCACAUGCCUUUAUUAGUGUCCAUGGUUGGAGUGGUUUUGGGUUCCCAGGCUAAGCCGGAUUGGUCAAUUCAAACCAAAAAAGAGCAGGG
rnacentral:lncRNA from 1 species